AAGGGUGGGCACGCAUUGCGUGCCGCCGCCCAGCGAAUCUCUUCCGCUCAAACUUGAUAAAUGGUUUGCAACAGCUACAGGCGCGUAGCUCAGUUGGUUAGAGCGCACGACUGAUAAUCGUGAGGUCGGCAGUUCAAAUCUGCCCGUGCCUACCAGCGGUCCGUUCCUAUUAUAUGGAGUUGCCGACCAUCUGUGUGCGUUAUGCAUAUAACCCAAGUUUAGAGCGCGAAAUGCAUCAAGUUUUGUCGUGUUGGCCGCGCAAGCGCGCAGCCUCGUGACACGCUGUUUGACAAAGUUAGUGAAGACAUCCAAGACCGCGGGAUUUAGACCGGCGACCGCAUUAGGUAACUAAUGUGGAAUCUGGCUAAUCCUGCAAAAAUAGCUUGCAGAUCAUAUGUGAAGGCAUUUGCCUUUACGUACGGUCUGAUCAAGCGUCUCUAAGGGCAUUUGGUGGAUGCCUUGGC
rnacentral:tRNA from 1 species